AACGCGAAGAACCUUACCAAGGUUUGACAUGCAGGGAAAAGCCGUAGAGAUACGGUGUCCGUAAGGGUCCUGCACAGGUGGUGCAUGGCUGUCGUCAGCUCGUGUCGUGAGGUGUUGGGUUAAGUCCCGCAACGAGCGCAACCCUUGUCGUUAGUUGCCAACAGUUCGGCUGGGAACUCUAACGAGACUGCCUGGGUUAACCAGGAGGAAGGUGAGGAUGACGUCAAGUCAGCAUGGCCCUUAUGUCCAGGGCUACACACGUGCUACAAUGGUCGGUACAGAGGGCAGCAAAAUCGAGAGAUCAAGCAAAUCCCAAAAAGCCGGCCCCAGUUCGGAUUGUAGUCUGCAACUCGACUACAUGAAGUCGGAAUUGCUAGUAAUGGCGUGUCAGCAAUAGCGCCGUGAAUACGUUCCCGGGCCUUGUACACACCGACUGUAC
rnacentral:rRNA from 1 species